AUGAACGCACAGGAGAUGUGUGUGCAUACACGCAAAACCGGCCACAGAGGUGCUCUCACCAGAGGCCAUCCGAAGCGGAAUGCUCUUGUCCUCGCCAACAUCAACCAACCCUUAACUGAAAGGUGCAUCUCUUCGUGGCUGAGGCUGGAGGCAGGAGGGCCAGGAGGUGCUCACACUGCCAGCUGUGUGACCAUGGCUCGUGUCCCUUGGCCUCUGGGACCUACAUGCCUCCCUCAUCUCUGGGUUAAGAUCUGGCUGUUGGAGCUGCACCCCGACCCCCUCCGCUUACCGCACACAGACAACGCCCCCAGGCCUGCACCCGGAGCUCAGGACAGGAAGGGCAUGAGGCGCCUCUGCCCCUCGGUGUUUCACCCGCUUACCCGGCACCUCUUCCAUCUCCCAGCCCAACUCUCCUCCCAACCCGCUCCCAGCCCCUGACGCUGUGCCUGGUCUGCCUGUAUUUCCGUCAGAGCUCCCUUGGAGGCAAGGAACAGAGACCCACUCAAGCUGGUUCAACAACGAAGCGUGUGAGGGAGCGGGAGGGUGGGUACAAUCUCUCUAAGGAGACCCCGAUGGCACGGCGCCCCCGGGAGAGCCCGUGUUCUCUCUCUCCGAGUCUCUGCUCCUCUCUGCGUAUCUUCUCCAUUCUCCUCUUUCUCUUGACCGCUUUCCUCCUAACUUUUGCUCAUAGAGGAUCCCUCACAUGUGGCCCAGCUCCAAGGUCGGCUUAAGCCUUUUGGUCCCACCUUAAAUGGUGGCUCAGACUCUCUGCUCCCCCAUAGCACACUCCUAAGAGGGGGAGCUGAUUGCUCAAGCGUACCCCCAGCCAGGCCACAGGAGUCCUGCAUAGGGCACCAACCUGCCAAUGAAGGGCCCAUCACUGGUGAAAUGCCCACCAAUCCUGCUGCAAUUGCGCAAGACUGGGAAGGGCAGGGUCUCCUGGACAUUUAGGGUUGCAGGAGCGAUGGGCAGGGCUAACUCCCCGUGGGUGGGCAGGCACAUGGUUAGCACCUCUAGUCCGGCAGGUCUGGAAACUCUGCUCUGAAGAAAACCUGGACCAAAGAAUCCCGUCUACUUAUAAGUACUUGCAAAUCCUACAGAUAUUCGUGUGCCCUGAACGAUAUUCAGAGACUCUUAGGAUCGUCAGGUCUUGGCGUUCCUGUUGUGGCGCAGUGGUUAGUGAACCCGACUAGGAACCAUGAGGUUGCGGGUUCGAUCCCUGGCCAUGCUCAGUGGGUUAAGGAUCCGGUGUUGCCGUGAGCUGUGGUAUAGAUCACAGACGUGGCUUGGACCCCGAGUUGCUGUGGCUGUGGUGUAGGCUGGCAACUGUAGCUCGGAUUAGACCCCUAGCUUGGGAACCUCCAUAUGCCGCAGGUGUGGCCCUAAAAAGACAAAAGACAAAAAAAAAAAAUUUGUCAGGUCUUAAGGUCCGCUAGGCAUAUUAAUACCUGGCCUUGGCCCUGUCAUUUUUUUCCCCCACUGCCUCUUUUUAAGUACCUUGGUUGAAACAAAGUUUUGUAUAGCCACACAAUGGAAUAUAAGUCAGCCAUACAAAGGGACGAAGUACUGAUAACAUGACAUGGGGUCAUCUUGAAAACAUUAUGCUAAGGCAAGAAGCUAAUCACAGAAGACCACAUACUAUCUGGUCUUUUUGAGGUCCUGAAACUUGUAAAAUUCUAGAAUUAACUCUGGUGAUAGUUGCACACAUCUGUUAAUAUACUAAAAUUCACAUCUCAAAAACUCGAAGUGGCAGAACUGCAAAGAGCCUUUUUUUGAAAUUGUUCAACUGAAAGAAAAAUAUUAGACACUUUAACUUCCAAUUCACUUAGCCUCGUCCUGAGAUGAGUCAUGAAAUACACAGAGAUACAGAUCCCAGCAAGAGAUAGUCCAGCGUGGUAGUGAAAUUCCAUCCCAGAGCACAUGGGCCUCUCACACCCAGUUUGAAGAAUGAAAGCGUAAGGGGAUACGUGCACGGACGGUGGCCUUAGACCCUGCCAAGGAGUCGUUCAAGUUUAACAGAGCACCUGCUCUUGCUUGUGGGACGGGGUGCAUUUAGAUGCAGGACUGGCUGUGGCCAGGAGGUCAGAAUUUAUUUUAGAAAAAGGGGAAAGUGGCCCAGCUUGUUUGACUGACCCAUGAGUGAUUUUCCGCAUCACAGCUGCAUUUGUAGGACUUCAGGUUGUCAUCUCAAAGUGUUUUGAAAGGUAAGAGGAGCAGUGCUGUGCUUUUAAAACUACGAGCAUAAAAGAAACACGGGGGAAAGUCCAGUGUAGCUGUGUAGGAAAGAACCAGCCGUAGCGCAAGGUUUUUCAAGGCUGACCUUCAUAGAGGCUAAUUUAUACUCAUUAAAAAAGUUCAGUGUCUGUUAGAAGUCUUCAAACAUAUUUAACCAUUAUGGAUUUCGUGGAGUAUUUUUUUUUAUGGCCACACCCUCGGCAUAUGGAAGUUCCCAGGCCAGGGAUCGAAUCUGAGCUGGAGCCGCAACAAUGCUGGGUCCUUUAAGCCACUGCGUGGGGGAUCAAACCCAUGCUUCUGCAGCAACCCCAGCCACUGAAGUCAGAGUCUUAAUCCACUGCGCCACAGUGGGAACUCCAACCAUUAUAUAUUUUGAAGAUUAUAACCUAGAGCUAGCUCACCAACAUGGGCUUAUGGAUCACUCAUGGCAAAUAGCAGAAAACAUAAUUUGGUUUUCGCAGUGAGUUGGUGCUGAAAAAAAAAGUCACCAAAAUAUGAUUUAUAUGCUGAUUUAGCAUUUAUUACAAAAUUGUAAAAUACAGAAAUCAGAUCACUUUAAUUGACACUAAAAAGUACAACAUAUGGAGUUCCCUGUGGCCUAGUGGUUAAGGAUCUGGCAUUGUCACUGUUGUGGCAUGGGUUCCAUCCCUGGCCUGGGAACUUCCAGGUGCCACAGGUGUGGCCCCCCUCCCAAAAAGCAGUGCAGCACACAGCAAGAUAAAGCUAUACUUCUUUACAUUUUUGUAUGAAAUAUGAUAUGUACCAUAAGACAUUUAAAAAUGAGAACAGUGGAGUUCCCGUCGUGGCGCAGUGGUUAACUAAUCCGACUAGGAACCAUGAGGUUGCGGGUUUGGUCCCUGCCCUUGCUCAGUGGGUUAAGGAUCCGGCGUUGCCAUGAGCUGUGGUGUAGGUCGCAGACGCGGCUCGGAUCCCGCGUUGCUGUGGCUCUGGCGUAGGCCGGUGACUACAGCUCCGAUUCAACCCCUAGCCUGGGAAACUCCAUAUGCCGCGGGAGCAGCCCAAAGAAAUAGCAAGAGACAAAAUAAAUAAAUUAAUUAAUUAAUUAAAAAAAUAAAU
rnacentral:lncRNA from 1 species